GAUGAAGAACGUAGCGAAAUGCGAUAAGUAAUGUGAAUUGCAGAAUUCAGUGAAUCAUCGAAUCUUUGAACGCACCUUGCGCUCCUUGGCAUUCCGAGGAGCAUGCCUGUUUGAGUGUCAUUAAAUUCUCAAGACCUGUCUGCUUUUUUGAUAGGUAUUGGAUUUUGGGGGUUGCAGGCUGUUUCAAAUAAAUAGCCUUGCUCUCCUUGAAUGUAUUAGUGGAGAAAAGCCAUUGAACUCCAUUGGUGUGAUAAAACCUAUCAAUGUCAGGAGCAAUAUCACUACUUCUCUCUGCUGUCUAACUGUGACUGUCUGUAUUAAUUAGUAUGGAUGGGGACAACUUGACCAACUUGACCUCAAAUCAGGUAGGACUACCCGCUGAACUUAAGCAUAUCAAUAAGCGGAGGA
rnacentral:misc_RNA from 1 species